rnacentral:lncRNA from 1 species
ACAGCGCGUCGGCCGCCGGGGACUUCGCCAUGCCCUUCCGGAAAGCAUCCCUGAGGACCGCAUACGCCGUCGGCGGAAGCCGCGUGAUGACGGUGCCGGAGUCGAUGAUGGCGCCGCCGGAGGAGAACGUGGAGGAGGAGAAGGCGAGGUUUACGCCGGCGACGCUUAUGCCGGUGAUGUCAAGGCCGUAGAAGGAGGCGCCGCGGGAGAUGGUGGAGAAGGGGGUAGAGGUGGCCGACGGCGCUGGUGGUGGAGGGGAGGCAGUAUGAGAAUUUCUUUUGGUAUUUUUGGGAGGUUUGUUGGACGAAGGAGAUGGGGUGGCGGCCGAGGCCUAAUAGGCCGGCGGCGCCGUUGAAGAGGCCCUGGUUGUUUUGGCCGCAGCCGAAUAGGAAGUUGUCGACGACGUCGGUGGGCGUCACCGUCAGGCGCUCACGGCUGAAGAAGCCGACGGAGAAGGAGGAGUCGCCGUAUUGGAUGCCGUACACGCAUGCCUUUGUGAUUGUGGCACAUGCCGGGUCAUUUCCUGAAUAAAUUUAAUUACAAGUUAAGAACAUGAGAAAAUUUAAAGGCAAACAUCCAUUGACUUAAUGAUAAUUUCCAUAUUUUGAUUUAAGUUGUUUAAAUGAAAUCCCAAAUGAAUGAUGUUUGCCUUUAAAAAAAAAUGAUGUUUUUAACUAAUGAAAAGGGAAAAAUUGAUGGGCUUUCAUGAGAAUUAAAUGUAUGAGUAGUUUUGAUCAUGACAAUUCAAAUUUAAUUAUGCAUAGAAUAUAAAAGAGAUAAAGUUUUUUAUAAGGUGGAGAACCUUGUUGUGGUUCUUUUCUUUGGUCAUAAUCAUAUGGUAUUGAUAAUUGACAUCUGAAAAUAGGAACAUACGCGUAAUGACCAAAGUCAUUAAGCUAAGUUGUUGUUGGAAAUAGUAAUGACUUAUUGAUCAUAUAAUCAAGUUGACUAAUUAGCAAAGGAAAAAGUUUUUAUUUUCUUAAGUGGGUCUACUAAAAUAUGAUAAGAAAUAAAUACUUCGUUUACAUUUUUGACACUUGUCUUUUAAUUUAAUUUCAAACUCCUUACUUUUUAUCAACUUAAAUAAAAACCCAUUGGAUUAAUUUAUUUCUAGCUGGUUGAAAAAGAAAUUACUUUAAAGCUUGCUGAGAAAGUGCCAUUGAAUUAAAGAACUAUGAAAAAAAAAUAGUUACUAAUAAGUACAUUGGUGAUCUAAAUUUAAAGAGUCUUAAUUUUAGGAAAAUGUUAGUUGUAUAUACAUAUUUCCAUGAAAUCCAAUCAACAUAUAUAUAGAACCACCACUAAACCAUAUGAUUAUUGGAUGUAUGUUGAAAUGUGUAUGUACACUUAUAAUCACUUUAAUUUUACCUGUAGCAGAGGUGAGUUGAGUGCAGUCUGAAGAGGUACAUGUGAUAUUGUAAUAUGAAGUAGAUCUUUUAGGGUCAAAAAUUGGAUCUUGCUGCUUGUAGCAAGAACGAGCACAAGGUUGACACUGAGUCCAAGUGAGAUCACUACCAGUGUCAAAGACCAGUGACAAGUCGCUUUUUGGUGUGCCAAGACCAACCACCACAAAGUAGUUCCCUGACCCAAUUAGGCUACCAGACUUUACUGGUAGUGUAGCACCGCCAGAUUGGCCAGAAUAUGAUUCCUUCGCACUAUUGUAAUUCGUGGAGAGCUUGGAGUGAAUGUAAUUCACCCUUUUUUUAUCUUGGCUCAGAAUAUCACUGUGUGUAGGAACAUCUACUUUCACUUGGGAGCAUGGUCCGUGUUUGUGUACCACUUCUAAUGAUGCUUUUCUUUUCGGACCUGAAGAAUUAGAUUCAGUGGUGUCAAAUCAUUUAUGCUUCAUCAUGUUUGAAGUGAAUAAUAAGAUUAACUUCAAGUUAAUGUUGCAUGUAAAUUUGGAGAAUGACAUGUGUAUUAAAUUCAAAAGUAACUCAUGAGUUAGAUAUAUUAUUCAAAUAAAGGAUAUGUAUAUGUUGAUUAAAAAAAAGUUAUUUGUCCAUUUACUAUGACUAAUUUUUUUGAAAUUACUAUGACUAAUUAAUAAGUGUGAUUUUAGUUCUUAACAAUUUUUUAUUUUAGUAAAUUCAGUUUUUUUUUCAAAAAAAAAUUCAGUUUUUCAAUUUUUCAAAAUUAUUACAAAAUUUUCAAUCCAUUAUUUUUACUUUUCCCAAAAUCUCAAAUAUUCAGAAAUUUUUUUCAGAAAUUGAAUAAGUUAAAUCAUUUUGAACAUUUUUUUGGUGAAUGGGAGAAAAAAUCAUUUUGAACAUUUUUACUCAAAAGACAAAAUAUUUUAUUUCCUUUGUACAAAAAAAAAACCAAAAUAUUAAAUAGUUUACCGAUAAUAAUAAUAAUAAUAAUAAUCCUAAAUUUUCAUUUUUUUUACAACAUUCUAGUAAAUAAUUUAAAUUUUAUUAAAUUAUAUAUUUUUUUCAAAUUCUUUAUAUCUCCAAUAUAUUUCUCAAAAUAUUUGAAAAAUAAAAAAUAAAAAAAUUUAGAUAUACCUAAAAAUUGGCACAACCCCCUCUCAUUUUUGGGGGUUAAUUCUAAAAGUAGAACUUGAAAACAAUAGGAAACUAUCAAAUAAUUAAAAUUAGAUAGUGUAUAAUUAAAUCAAUGAACCCGUAUGGAUAUCUUAGACAAAAUCUUAUCAUGAAUUGGUUAACGAGCACUGUGUCAAUUAGUGGGUGAUGUUUAUAUCCCCCAAGAAUUGUGUUCAAUUAUUAGUUAGGUACAAAAAAAUAAAAUAUCAUAUGAAGACUCAAAUAUUAUUUCUUUAAUCAAUCACGAGCACCGAUAUCUUGUGCACUAUUAUCAGACAGCUACAUAUUACCUAAUUCUUUUUCAGGCUAUACAAUGUUCUCAUAUUUGGAGCUUGAUCCCUCAUAUGAUAUACUACAUUAACUUUUCUAUGCGUACUCAAUCUGUACUUUGUUAUAUAUAGUAUAGAUUUUUAAUUUAAAUUAGAUUCAAAUAAGAGAAGUAAUUGUAUAUAAGAAGCUAGUGGCCGGUUGUUGAAUUAUUUGGUGUUGGGACUUUAGGCUUUAUAAAUCAUCUCUAUUUUUUCUUCACUAUAUAGAUUUAUUUUUUAUUAUUCUCUAUUAUAUUGGGUUGGAGUAUCCUUUGUACUUCUUUUCAAUAUAUAUCAUUACUUAUAAAAAAAAAGACUCUUUUUUCUCAAGGAUUUUUCCUAAUAAGGUUUUAAUGAGGCAUUUUUAUAAAGUCUUGUUUCAAAGGGGGUUGUGUUUAUGUAAAUUUGAGUUGUAAUUUUCCAUGUUGCUAUUCUUCUUUUUCUUUGUAUUGGGUUGAAUUAUCCAUUGUGCUUCACUUCAAUUUUUUUUUUUUUUGCUUAUUAAAACAAAUUAUAUAUAAGAAGCAAAGAUCAAACACCAAUAAAAUAGUUAUAUAUCUCCACCAUAUUAAAUAAUUGACCAAACUUUUAGGUUUUAUUUUGUAUCUUUACGUCCAUUGCACAUGGACAAACUUGUCAAGUUAGGACACCACUUUUCAUCUCAAGAUUUUUUUGCUAAAAUUUGUCAAUUUCUUCAGCAGUUUUAAAACCUUAAAAGUUUGGAAGAAGAGAUGUGAGGGUAACGUUUUACUUACAAGUGAAAAAUUAGCCAAUUGUUUUUAGGUUUUUAACUUGUAGUGGAUUUUGGGUGCUUAGUAAUUGUUUUUUGUUUUUGGAAAGACUACUAGCAGUAGUAGUAAAACAACGACAAAAUGUCAAUUAGUCGAACAGUAUUGAUUUCUAAAAAAAGAUUAAUUAAACGUACACAAAUAUUCAACGAGCUGAGUCUCUCAUAGAGUCAUAGUCACAGCAAAGCUAGAUAAGCAGUUUAACCAUGAUCACUGACCCGUGAGCCAUGACAUUUAUGGUCAUAUAAGCCAAAGUUAUUCACGGUCUAAGUGACCCCGUGACCAAAAAAAUUAUCCAUGAGGAAGAAGAGAAGAACUUUGUUUUACAUAACAUUGUCAAAUACAUAAUAAAAUUGAUUUGAUCCGAUUUUGAUGUAAAAAAACACAAGAGCAAGGUUAUUGUACAAUUAAAAUCCAUCAAUAAAUGAAGACUUUUAUUUUAGUGUACAACCUAAAAAUGUUGAUGCAACUAAAUGAGGGAUACCAGGGUAAUUAAUAUUGGUCAUUACAAUUAUAAACAAUCAGAAUUGGUUUGUUUAAAUAUAUUUUUGACCAUUCAUUUACAUGCUACGUAGAGCUAGGACUAAUAUAAAAAACAAUUGAAAUAUAUUGUUAUCAUUAUUGUUAUUAUUAAAUAAUUAUUUAAGAAAUAUGUGAGUGGUAGCCGGCAUGGCCUGUCUUCCUUUAUCCUUUUCCUAUCUUUGAUAUGUGGUGGUGGGUUCCAUGUGAAUAUUUUUCGUAGCAAUCAUAUGAAUCACUCGGGCAACACGCGGUAAAUUAAAGCUUCGCGUAAACUAUAAGCCACUCACUAAUAGUACUAGUUUUUUUAGGUUAUACUUGAUUCUCCUCACAAUCGUUAGUUAUAAGAUGUGAUUAUGUGAAUAAGCAUUUUUAACAAAUAUUUCUUCAUAUUUAAAAAUCAAACUCUGGAUUUGAUACUUAAGAAAUUUAAUUAUUUACCAAUUGUACUAGAAUUUGCUGGUAGGUUGUACUCAAUUCUAAUUGAGGGAAAUGUGCAAAACCAAAAAACUUAUUAUUGAUUGUCUUUGUUCAAUGCUCAUUUCCUAUCUUUCUCAAUCAUGCAGGUAUAUGAUUUUCAUGAAGACAUUAAAAUUCAGAAUAGCUAUAUAUAGAGAAUGUUUUAUGUUCUAAAUACCCCAAAUGUAAAUGUAAGAAGUUGUGUGCACUGUAUAUAAAGUAGCAUGCAUGUAAAAUUACUCCUAUGAAGCUUAAUUUCAUUAAUUGGGAAGAGGGUAGAGAAAUUGAGUUAAUUACCUUCGGAUGAAGAGCUGCAAGAAGAUGAUGGUAAGAGGGAGCUAAGGUGAACAAGAUGCUCAUGGUUUCUUUCUGUGUCCUCCCUUGUCGCUUGAAUGGCAAAGCUCUUCUCUAAGGAAAAGAAGAAAAAGAGAAGAGCAAGAGAAGAUAAGAGGAAAUUAGAAGUCAUUUGGAAUGAGCCUCCUAUGCCAAUUUUCUGUUCUGACAAUAGGCUAUGCAACACACUUACUGGUGUCAGUGUGCUUGGGCUUUAUAGGCCAAUUCCCAUUGAUAGAUUAUCAAUCCUUACACGCGUCACCCACUAUAUGACAAAUAAUCAAUACUAUUUCAUUGAGCUUGGUUCUUCUGUCAACACAGCGCUACUAUUGCUUAGCAAAUUAUACAUAGACAAAAAUUGACCAAGUUGAAUAAAAAACAACCUACAACAGUAAUUUUCUCAUUUCAUGAUAAAACGAAGGCUUAAUUCCACUUUGGGCCCCUGAUGUUUCAGAAAUGAGCUAUCGGGGCCCCCCGUGUUUAAACGUAGCGGUCAGGCACCCCAACGUUUCAAAAACGUGCGAUCCAGCCCCUUCUGUUAAGCUCCGUUAGUUGACCAAACGGAGACCCUUUCAUUAAUUGACGUGGAUUUUCUCUCACUCUCUUCUCUCUCUCUCCCUCACGCGUUCACUCACUCAUGCUCUCCCUCAACCUCUCGACUCUUUCUCUCUUCCUCUCCAAGACCCAUUUUCUUCUUCUUCUGAUUAUUUUCCCUAAGGUUGCAGCACUACCAACACCUUCUUCUCCUCCUGAUGACAACCACCACCGCCUGGUCACUCUCCUUCAAGAGGCUACACCAUCACCACCGUUCCUGUCCUGAUCUUUCUCUUCUUCUCCUUCCAUGUGCAAACCACCCUGGCAUCACCUAAGCUAGCCACCACCGCCAGCAACCACGAUGACGCCGCCACCUCCUUCAGUCCCGCGAGCAUCAUCAUCACCAACAUGAUGAGAAACAACAGAGAAAUAGAGGAGAAACCAAACCCUAAUUUCAGCCACCUUCAAAUCGAAUGAAACCUACACUUACAUUCCACACCGGCAUCGCUCUCUUUAAUGCUCUGUUUGUUGGUAGUCUUUUAGCAAGAAAGAAAGUUGGUAACUAUGGAAAUGAGUGGAAAAUUGAAUCUUGAGUUGUUUGUGAGAGACAUGCAGGGUCGGCCCAACACUAAAUGAAGUUUAAAGCAACUUCAAAAUUAGGUAUUUUUUUUGGGUCUUUUUGUCUUAAGCUUGGUUUUUUGAGGCCUUUUUUUUUUUACUUAGUAAAAUAAAAUUUGGGGCUUUUUUUUACUUGAUAAAAAAUAAAAAUUUGGAAGCCUAAAGCGGUUGUUUUGGUGACUUUACCUUUGGGCCGGCCCUCGAGACAUGAAAAUGGAGAGAAGAAAAAUUAACUUUUUUGUUUUAUUAAUUUAUUUAUAAAUUGAAAUUUACUAAUUAUAUAAUCCUUAUUCUCCAUUUUCCUUCCCUUCUCUCAUCUUUUUCCAACAAUCCAAACAACUCAAAUAUCAUUUCAUUUUCUGUUUAUAUUAUUUCCUCUUAUAUUUCUUCCUAUUAUUUUUAAAUAUGUAUCCAAACAUAGCAUAAAUGUGUGAUGGGAUAAGACAAUUUAAAAAUUCAAGGAAUUCAAAAAUUUCCCUAAAUAUUCAAAUUCCCUUGAGUAAAACUAUUGGAAUUUCUUCUAUUAUAAAUAUCUUUUUUUGAUAAUGUAAUUGAAUUUCCUUAAUCUAAUAUUUAUUUUAAAGUAAUGAAAACGUUUAUAACAUAUAAAAUAAAUUUACCUUUUAAAAAUUAAUUAUUAUUACAAUAAUCAUAAUAUAAGACUUGACUUGAACAAGCUGGAUCGACAUAAACAGUCAUGGUCGACCUAAAUCAGCUCGACUGACCAAAACCAAUUGGGAUGACCUGAACAGGUCGGGCCAAGUCGACCUGAAUUAGUUAGGUGGACUGGAAUAGGUCGAGUCGAGUAGAACACUAAACUCAACCAUAAACCUGAAUCCCUAAAUGCAAAACCCCAAAUCGAACCUGAACCAAUUGAGCCAGCUCGAACGUGAUGGGCCGACCUAGAGGAGUCAGACUUACUUGAAUUGUCCAAGUCGACUCGAUCCCGUUCAGGUGGACCAGACCCAAGUCGGACCACCCAAAUGUAACAGUUGACCUAAACCAUAAACCAUAAGCUCUUAACCCUAAACACUAAAUUCGACCUAGAUGGAUCAUACCGAUGAAAAUGAGCCAUGUCGAGCAGACUCGGGUAGGCUGUCCUUAAUCGAUCGAGCUGAACUAAAUGAGUUGAUUUGACUUGAACGGAUCAUGUCAACCUUAACGGGUCAUUGUCGAGUCAGGUGCGUCGAGUCGAGCAGGUAUGCGUCGAGUUAGUAGGAAAAAUAUGUGGGUCAGAUAUAGGGUUUAUAGCCAAUUUUAGAGUCCAGGUUGGGCUUAUGGUUAUUUUAGGGUACAGGGGAUGAAGGUGAGUCGGCGUGAAGGUUCACUCAUGUGGGUGCUGAGUCAAGACGGUCGGCGCCAAUUUAGGCGUGUCAUCGUCGAGUAAGACAAAAAAACGGGUGGGUCUGAUUUAGGGUUGAGUGUUAGUUUUAGGGUUCAGGUAGAGUUUAGGGUUUUGAGCGGGUCGACAUCGUGCCAUCGUCUAGUCAGUCUGAUCGGCGUCGGGUUGGCAUUGGGUUUGGCAGGUUGUCACAAGUUCAUGCGGGUCAAAUUUAGGGAUUGAAGUUUGAGGUCGACUCUAGAGUUCAAAUCAGGUGUAGGGUCGAUUUUAGGGUUUAGAGAUGAUUUUACGGUUCAAGGCAUGUCUGGAGGGUCAGGUCAGUCUAGUCAACAUUUGGUUAGUCGGGUGGAGUAGGUUGGCAUCAUUUCAGGCGGUUUAGAUUUAGGGUUUAUGGUUGACUUUAUGGUGUAGCUAGGCCAAGUUUGAGUUUUAGGGUUUAUAGUCAACUUUAAGGUAAAAUAUGUGUCGACGCCGAGUCUGGCGGGUCAAGUCUACAUCGGGCCGGCGUCGAGUCGUUCAGGUCAAGUUUAGGGUUAAGGGUUUAUGGUGGAUUUUUAGUUUUUAGGUGGAUCUGAUCUAUUCAAGUCGACCUGACUGGUUCAGGUCAGGUUCGGUAGGUCCAGCCCGACCCAUUCAAGUUUGGUGUAUGAAUUAAGCCUUAUGUUGAUUUUAGGUUUUAGGCUGACCCGCAUAGUUAAGGGUUGGCACAACUUGUUCAGGUUGGCCUCACACAUUUAGGUCGGGUUUAGGGAUAUUUUAGGGUGUAGGUCAGGUUUCGACUUAAGGGUUUAGGAAGAAGGGGUUAUGAUUGAUUUUAGGGUUAAGGUAUGCCUAGGUUGCCCCAGCCUGUUUAGGUCGAUCCAACUAGUUCAGGAUUGACCUGACCCGUUCAGGUCAGCUCGAUAGGUUCAGAUCUGGUUAAAAUAUGUUUAAAUAUAUUUUUAGUCCUUGAUUUUUAAAGAUAAUGACAUUAAAAUUAUUUGUAAUCAAUUCCUUAAAUUUUUUCAAUCAAAUUAAGGACUAAAGUCAUUUUAGUGCUAUAAUACACCUGGGUGAGAGGUGUAGAGCUUUAAUUGUAACUAAGGCUAUGUUUGACAUGCCUAGCUGAUAAGCUAUCUGAAAGCUAAAAGCUUAUAAGCUAGCUGGAAGCUGAAAGCUUAUAAGCUAGCUGGAAUGUGAAAGCUUAUAAGCUAGGUGGAAGCUAAAAGCUGAUAGUUGAAAAACUACAUGAUUGUAAAAAAGUGUUUGGUAAAACUAGCUAUUAAACAACCUGAAACUAUAAAAUGACAUAAAAUGUCAUACUUGUAUAAUCUUUUUUGCAUUCAACAUUACUUUAUUUACACAUCAAUGCAUAUAUGAUAUUAAAAUAAUUAUCACUUUAAAUACUUUACUUCAGUUUAAAUUAUUUAUCAUCUAAGAAAUAUAAUAUUAAUUUUUAGUUUAUUUUCGUUUUUACAUUUUUAUUAAUUUAAAUAGCAGGAAAAAAAAUUAAUUCAUAAAGUAAGUUUAUAUUUGUCUAAAUCAACAAAAUAUUUUUUUAUAAUUUUAUAUUAACAAUUGAAUAAUAAUUAUUUCAAAAUAAAAAUAAUUACAGUUUAGUUUUUUUAUAAAUAUAGAAAGGGUAAUGGUAGAAUUUCAUUAAAACGAUAAGGAUAAAAAUGAUAAUAAAUACAAUAAGCUUUAUGCUGUAAGUUACCUCGGGUAGCUUAUUAAAAAAACUUUUACUGAAAUAAACUCAUUUACUAAACACUUUUAAAGAGUUUUUAAGCUAGUCAAUAAGCUUUAAACUAGCUGGAAUGACAUGUAAAACAUAGCAUAAAUUUAAAUAUAAAAUAAUCAGCAUUAGAAUGAUAAUCGUAUACAUGCUAGUUUAGAAGGGAAAUAAAAGUCCUCCAAAAUUUUAGGCUUAAAUAAGUUUUUGGUCCCUAACCUUUACAAAAUGCUUGGUUUUCGUCCCUUGCCGGAGCAAAGGUGGGUUUUAGUCCCUAACCUUUGCCAAUAUAUUUGGUUUUGGUCCCUCCGGAGAUCUGGGUCAACGCCGGAGCUCCGGUGGCCCAUGUGACAUUGCCACGUGGGAUUAAUGAGCUGAUGUGGAAUUUGUUUUUCUUUUAAGUUAAAAAAACCUAAUUAAUUAAAAAAAAUUGUUUAAAAUUCUAAAGAAAAGCUUAAGUUAUUUAAUUUUAAUCCCUAAUCAAAGCUUUAGUCCUAAAUAUUUUAACUCUAAUCCUUCUGCAAUAGGGGUGGGAAGAGGCCAGGCCGUUCGUAGGGGCCUAUGGCCUAGCCUACCACAGGCCCAGGCCAGGCCAGCUUUUACAAAUGAAUGCUCUUUGAAUUGAAAGUGCGAGCGAAUUUUUUUAAGGAUCUUUUUGAAUUUUAUAAAUUUAAGAGUGACAUGAAUAAGCGUAGAAUGAUGGCAAUAACAAUUCCCUAUCCUUAAAUGACUACCAAAAUAAGAUUUAUUCGUAGAAGAAAAUUUCCAUAAAUUUGGAGACGGAUAAAUAAUCAGUCUCAAGAACAUGAGAGAAGCAAAGAUUCUUAUAACUAUAGAGAGAAUCUACAUGAAACAAAGAGCCUUCUACCAAACUAUGGAUAAAUAACAUCGUUUAACAAGGGUGUUGCAACAACAAAAAGUUUCCCAUCCAUUCUACGCACAACCAUGCCGCAACCUGCCUGGUUGUUCUUGAAAAAGGAAUCAAAUUAAAAUUGAUCUUGAUCACAUAUGCCAAUGGAGGAGAUCAACUUGCGAACAAUCCUAAUUAUCUCACAAUUUUACUAACUUGAGCAACAAAGUACCUUAUAUAUAUGUACUCACCUUCACUCAUUGUUAACGUUCAAUCACUUAAAGAAGGAGAAGAAGGGGUACCUUGUAUAUAUGUACUCACCUUCGCUCAUUCCUAUUUUGUCUCCAAUCUGUUAUGUUCUGUUGCUUAAUUGUACCACGGGUGGCACCCCUUGUACUUAGCUUGUUUUAUAUAUAUUAUUGCUUAUCAAAAAAACUAAAGAAGGAAACCCACAAAGGAGAAUUCCAAUUCGUUGCGCGGAUAGCAUUAACCACAAUCACCCUUAUUAAAGUUUGAUAAUUAAACAUACGAACAGUCAUAACUUUUAUCUUUUAAGAGUGAAAUUAAUUGCUUUUCACGUUUCAUGAAUAUUAUUUUACUUAUUUCAAUAUUUAAGGUACUAAGACGACAACUUUUUUAUGGAUAAAAUGGACUACUGGUCAUAUUUUAAUUGUAAUGGAGAUAAAAUGAUAAAAUUUAAUUAAAUAUAUAAAAUUUACUUACAUUGUUAAUAUAUAAUUACUAAACUCUCAUAUUUUUUUGGGGUAACACUCUCAUAUAUUUAUUUAAAGAAUUGAAAAGCAUCAUCUUAAAUGCAUAAAAUAAUUGGAUUCUUUUCUCAAUUCUCACGUCUGUUUUCUUCUCUAAUUGACUAAUUCAAUAAACAAAUAGAACACACUGAUAAUAAUAAUAAACUAUAAAAGGUUCCAUUUAAUUUAUGUGGAUGUCCCUUUAACAAAAAAAAAUUGUGGAUGCCAUGUCGUGUUGAAUCAGUAUUUAGAUAUUGGAAAAUUAUGUGGUACCCAUAAUUUUGUUUGGGUGUGAUACCCACAUUAUGUUAUUUAAUAGAUUAUUACUAUGUUUUUCAAUGUAAAUUUUACAUUUUCAAAUUUUAUUUUACUUUUCAAUUAACUUCAUUCAAUAAAAUUUAUUUUUUAAUGAAAAAUAGAUGAGUAGUGAAGACGAACGAAGGUGGUGACGAUGCGCGUCAAUUGACCAUAUUUGACGGAAGAACAAAAGUUAACAAAACACAACAAAGAAAUUUUACGUCUCUAACAAUGGAAUACUACAUUACUAUAAUAUAUUAAAAUCAAACUUUCAACGGAUAUAUAAGUUUUUACUACUCAUUUAACUCAUUUUGGGUACCACGCCUUGAAUUGACUCAAGGUACCACAGCAAGCACAAAAAAAAAACUAAAAACAAUGCUCCAGUAGAAGAAACGACUAGGAAAAAACCCGACACUACAACCUAUCUAGUGUCAUAAGCAGUGAUAUCGGAUCGGACGCUAAAGGGUUGAAGCUAACGCGUGGAGUCGGACAAGGAGGUCGACGCUGUUCAUCACAUAGAACUAUUUGCUUUUCUGUUUUCACACCAGAAAAUAAAGGGGGAGAAAAAGAGUAGAAAGUAGAAACAAAUUCCACCGACAAUGAAAGAGGAAAAAAUCAACUCACGAACCGUUUCACUCAGAUCUCACCCUGAGGUUUUCGUUUUGUUCUUCUCACAUAGAACCCAUAAUCGCAAACCCAGAAAAGUGAAAAAAGAACAAAGAACAGGACAAGGAACAGAGCAAAACAGAGUUGCUCGAAUAAAUUAACUUAAGGACAUAAACCGGAAAUUUUUGGGUUAUGGAGAAAUAGAAAGUCACCACAUUUCUCACUAAAGCCACCUUGUUCCACCAUCAUGGUCAUCGAGCUUCACCAAAAACCUAGAAAAUCGGAAGCAAAAGCAUGUCCAACGGAGCACCCAGGUACAUUCCUAAAGUUGUGAGAGACACAGAUCUGGAUCAGAAUGAAAAGAUGAAGGAGGAAGCCAGUGAAGAUUUGGAUUAAAUUUAGGUUUGUGAUGACGAAGCCAGUGCAGAUGUAGAUGUGAGAACUGCGAAGGAUGAGAAGCUGAUGAGAUUACUAGAUUAGGGUUUUUUUUAUUUACUGAAUUAAUUUUAUUUAUUCAACUCACGAACCGUUUCAAUCAGAUCUAACCCUCUUCAAUUUCACUCCAAAACACAAACCCAGAAAAGUGACAUUAAAGAGGUUUUCGUUUUGUUCUUCUCACAUAGAACCCAUAAUCGCAAACCCAGAAAAGUGAAAAAAGAACAAAGAACAGGACAAGGAACAGAGCAAAACAGAGUUGCUCAAAUAAAUUAACUUAAGGACAUAAACCAGAAAUUUUUGGGUUAUGGAGAAAGAAAAAGAGGGAAGCCUCCCCUGAAAAAUACACGCCUCCUCCGCAAACCUAGAAAAUCGGAAGCAAAAGCAUGUCCAACGGAGCACCCAGGUACAUUCCUAAAGUUGUGAGAGACACAGAUCUGGAUCAGAAUGAAAAGAUGAAGGAGGAAGCCAGUGAAGAUUUGGAUUAAAUUUAGGUUUGUGAUGACGAAGCCAGUGAAGAUGUAGAUGUGAGAACUGAGAAGGGUGAGAAGAUGUUGAUGUGAGGAUGAAGGUCGUGUGAAGCUGAUGAGAUUACUAGAUUAGGGUUUUUUUUAUUUACUGAAUUAAUUUUAUUUAUUUACUUAAUUAAUUAUGUUUUUUUUAUUAAUUUAAAUGGAAAUGAAAAAAAACAAAUUCCACGUCAGCUCAUUAACCCAAGUCACGUGGGCCACCGGAGCUCCAGCGUUGACCCAGAUCUCCGGAGGGACCAAAACCAAACAUUUUGGCAAAGGUUAGGGGCUAAAACCUACCUUUACUCCGGCGAGGGACGAAAACCAAACAUUUUGUAAAGGUUAGGGACCAAAAACUUAUUUAAGCCAAAAUUUUAACCCUUAAAACCAUUCAAUGCACCAUCUCCUGAUAUACGCCGCCUGCGAAUAAAUACGAAAUGACAUAGUUCAAUAGAAAUAAUCUUAUAAAAUGGGUUAGUGAUCUAUUAUUGAAAGUAAUACAUGACAAUAGAAGUACGAAUUAUAAAAUUCAUAUGUAGGGUAUUUGUUGUCCAUUUUUUUAACUAUCGGUUUCUAAUAUAGAAUUCUAGAUGACUUGUCCUACGAAGAAUGCACUAUAUCCUGAAUCUAAGUGCUGCAUUUGUGAGCUAGUCCUCUUAUCUAUCUACCUCCACAAGAAUUAAUGGAGAAAUAUUCACAAAAUCAUAGCCGCCAAGUUAGGUCUUUGAUCAUUUAAAAAAAAAAAGGGCCGGUCUUUGAUUUCUUCAAAUUAUUAAUUAUUGUUAAAAAUUUGGAAAGCAUAUUAUUUGAUUAAUUCUUAGUCUUCCACUUACCCACUUUAAAGAACCUUUAGGCUUUAACAAAGUCAAUAACUAAAAUCUCCCCUCUUCUUUCACAAUGGAUCUAUUAUCUAUAUGUAGUUAUGUCCGCUAUUUGAAUCGAGAUUGAGGUCCAGUUGAAGAGUGAAAUUAGAAAAACCGAUGCGGAAGUAAAGAUGUUGUAUUGGAAACAAAGUUAAAAGUAUUAGUAACGAAAAUGAAAAUAUUUAGUAUAUUAAAGACGUACAAAAUUAUUAUUAUUUUGGUUUCUCUAGGUAUCUCCACAGUGGGCAGUCAUGAGACUAAUCUUUUGACAGUGGCGAAUUCAAGACCCGGAGGCAGGGGUUUAAAUUUUUCAAAUUAACACAUCGGUAAAAAUAUAAUUAAAAACAACUCUAAUAUGUUUAUACAUCUGAAAUUAUACAAGUCAUACUUGUCCUCUACGUGAUUUCAUAUUCUGAAAUCGUUGAACAACUUACACUAACACUAGCGAUCUUACAUAAAACUAGCAGUCAAAUAAGUAAAAACAGAGGCAAAAGUAUCUGUCACUUGAAAAAUUGUAUCUGCAAAUAUUUAUGUAUAUAUACACAUGCAUAUGUAUGUAUGGUUUAUUAAUUAAUAUAUAUCAUUUUAGUAUCACUUUUGACAUUCAAUAGUUAUUUCUUAGACUUCUACGGACUGCAAUUGAACUUCUAUUUUGCUAUACUGAAUUUAUGCUUCUUCAUUCUGUUUAUGUUACUGGUUGCCUAUAAAUGAAAGAGGGUGAGCGGCUAAGUGCGCGUAUUUGAGAGAGAGAGAGAGAGAGAGUGAGAGGAGUAAGUGAGUGUAAGUCUUUGGUGCAAAUAGGUGCAAAACUUGAUCUACUAGUGUAAUUUAAAAUUUUCAGGGGUUCAAAAAAAAUAUUAUACAGGAGUAUAAGUGCAAAAAAAAAUUGUUCAAGGGGUUCAGAUGAACCCCCAUCUGAACCCCCUCCCCUCAUAUUGAUGUGCGUCCGCCACUAUUACACUAAUGAAGUUUACAUUUCCCAACAAAUACUUCUAACAUUAAAAUUAUUUAAUACUGACAUUGAAGAAAAAAAAAUAAUAGUAUAUAAACUGUUUCUAGGAAUCUCGUUGCAAAGACACACUCAACAAAAAGAUUUUAGUUAUACCUAAUAAUGAAAAGGAGAAAAUUCUAAUCAAUGAAAGAGAUAUCUCACUCGACACCCCUGAUUCUAUCAACCCCUGCAAUCUAUAGCCACUCAAGUUUUUGGAUAAUAUCACAUUAAUAAGAUUAUAAAUAAGUGUAAAUGAAUUUUAUGAUAUGUAUGUCAGUAUGUGUACAUGAAGUUUCAUUUUGUGUGAGUAUUCAGAUUUAGAAAGAGGAACGAUCGAGCACCCUUUUUAAAAUUCAAUGGUUGAUUACAAUUUUUAGUUUAUUAAAAAUAAGUUCAGAAUCAUAAUAAUUCUUAUAGGACGGCAUGACUUAACAUAUCAAAAACUUACUGGUUACUAAGACGGGGUUUGGGUUGAAAGUUUUAGCCCAUAUAUAGGUGGGCGGGUCCAAAUAAAAUAAAAUAAAAAAUAAUUAAUAAAUAAAUAAAAAUAGCUCUACAUUUUUAUACUAAUGUAUAGAGAGUAGAGACAUCCAAUUUGUCCAAAUUCAGUAUAUCAAAAGAGAAUAAUAACUAAGAGACAGCCAUUAAUUUUGUUUCAAGUUGUAACUAAUCUUCAAAGUUCCCAUGAAGCCUAAAAAGUUUCUUGGAACUUGGGUGGUCAUGUUGUCAUUUUCUACUCAAAAAUGUGACCGGCCAGCAACUAGCAAAGCAUGCCCUUCUGAUGAACCCAUCGGCAGAGAUGGUGGUGGGCUGGUGGACCUCACAACCUUCCAUUCACACAGACUUGUGCUUGGAAUCUUCCUGGCUUGUGGACCACAGUUAGUUACUGGUUUUUUGGUUAAUUGGUGCCAAUUAGCCAGAAUCUCUUUUCAAAUCAGUUAUGAUGCAUAGACAUCUAAAUAAUAUAGAGAUCCCAAAUAUCAGACCGAACAAGGGUAAAGACACCCAAACAAGAGUUUUAGACCCCCAAUUUUUUUUUAUACUAAGUAAAAAAGGCUCCCAAAAUUAAAAUAAUAAAAUCUUAUCUUAAAUUAACCAUGUCUCAACAAAGAUUAAAUGGACUACCUUUAUUAUCAAUUGAAAAAGACAUGUUAAAUCAAAUUGAUUAUGGUAAUUUAAUAAAUGAUUUUGCAUAUGAAAAACUCGAAAAAUAAAUUAUAAAUUAUAAAUUAUUUUUACGUGAAAAGUUUUUAAAAAGUCUCACUUUAAAAUUCAUUAUAAACCUUAUUUAGUGUUGGGUCUGCCCUGCCAAAUACAUCUCAUUUUUCUUUUUAUUUCUCUAUUCGUAUCAUAUAACAUCAUAUAUCAUACUUAUUAUUACUUGUCUUCGUUACUCUUCUUUUCUCACUUUGGGUGUUUAUGUUUGUCAUGGAUGUAUAUUUAAUACUUUUCCUAUAAUAAUAUGAUUGUGAUUUUGUUGGGUAGGACACAAAACACUUUGUUGGAGUAGUGGAAGAAAGCUGGAUAUUUACCUUUCUAAUGGGUCCAUUGCCAUGUUUUCUUAAUUACCCUGAUAACAACAAUUUUUGCAUCCCUAUUGCCAGCUGUGACUCAAAAUCUGAAUAGAAGCUGGUGUGGACUCAUGUCUAAUUAAUAGCUCAAACUAAUCAGGAAUCAAAUGCUCAUAACAAGCUUUGAUUGGACUUUGAAUGAGAUGAAAGCAACAAAUUGCUUCUGAGAACCGGCACAGCUGUGAUUGUGGCGUGAUGAAAUGCCUGAUUUGAAUAUAAACACUACACCCUCCGAUCACUAUUAUAAGCAAANNNNNNNNNNNNNNNNNNNNNNNNNNNNNNNNNNNNNNNNNNNNNNNNNNNNNNNNNNNNNNNNNNNNNNNNNNNNNNNNNNNNNNNNNNNNNNNNNNNNNNNNNNNNNNNNNNNNNNNNNNNNNNNNNNNNNNNNNNNNNNNNNNNNNNNNNNNNNNNNNNNNNNNNNNNNNNNNNNNNNNNNNNNNNNNNNNNNNNNNNNNNNNNNNNNNNNNNNNNNNNNNNNNNNNNNNNNNNNNNNNNNNNNNNNNNNNNNNNNNNNNNNNNNNNNNNNNNNNNNNNNNNNNNNNNNNNNNNNNNNNNNNNNNNNNNNNNNNNNNNNNNNNNNNNNNNNNNNNNNNNNNNNNNNNNNNNNNNNNNNNNNNNNNNNNNNNNNNNNNNNNNNNNNNNNNNNNNNNNNNNNNNNNNNNNNNNNNNNNNNNNNNNNNNNNNNNNNNNNNNNNNNNNNNNNNNNNNNNNNNNNNNNNNNNNNNNNNNNNNNNNNNNNNNNNNNNNNNNNNNNNNNNNNNNNNNNNNNNNNNNNNNNNNNNNNNNNNNNNNNNNNNNNNNNNNNNNNNNNNNNNNNNNNNNNNNNNNNNNNNNNNNNNNNNNNNNNNNNNNNNNNNNNNNNNNNNNNNNNNNNNNNNNNNNNNNNNNNNNNNNNNNNNNNNNNNNNNNNNNNNNNNNNNNNNNNNNNNNNNNNNNNNNNNNNNNNNNNNNNNNNNNNNNNNNNNNNNNNNNNNNNNNNNNNNNNNNNNNNNNNNNNNNNNNNNNNNNNNNNNNNNNNNNNNNNNNNNNNNNNNNNNNNNNNNNNNNNNNNNNNNNNNNNNNNNNNNNNNNNNNNNNNNNNNNNNNNNNNNNNNNNNNNNNNNNNNNNNNNNNNNNNNNNNNNNNNNNNNNNNNNNNNNNNNNNNNNNNNNNNNNNNNNNNNNNNNNNNNNNNNNNNNNNNNNNNNNNNNNNNNNNNNNNNNNNNNNNNNNNNNNNNNNNNNNNNNNNNNNNNNNNNNNNNNNNNNNNNNNNAUACAUUAACAGGACGGCAUCAUAAAAUAGUCUACAUAUAAUGAUGAAUGUCUGGACAACACUUGGCAUUACUUAGCUCACAAUUCACAACAAAAAGUGAUUAGACACAAAAAGGGAAAUACUAUUUCUUCCGAUGUAGCAAAAAAAAAAAGAGAAAUAUUACCUUCCCACCUAAUUCAAAGAUAACAAGAGAAGAGAUAGAGAUAUAAACAAAAUAUGAUGGAAAUGAGAUCGAAGAUAAAAUUAAGUGUGAAAGAAUCGAAGCUCACAACAAAUAAAAUUGAGAGUAGAAAGUGACAGGAAUCUUGUUUGAAAGUUUCUUUGCCUGCAUUAAUUGUAGCAUCAUAUCGUCCAAGACAAGAAAGCUGCUGUCAUUGCAAAAUGCAAGUAUGCAACCCAUCCCCAAUAAUUAGUUCUCUUGAUUAUUGUUUCAUGAAUCCUGAGUGUUUCUAGAACUUAAAGUUCCCGGUUCACAUUUAUGAAAAAGGAAAAAAAAAACAUUUUAAUGAAAAAGUGUGAACAUUUUCUCAAGCUAAAAAUAAUUAAUUUAAAGUGUCUAGUGAAAUUAACCCUUUUCUUUGGGUAAAGGAAUUUAAUUCCGUUUAUAUUUCAGUCGCGAUUCAUAAACAACGACACAUUUAAGUUGUGGCAAGUUUUUACUGCCACAAUUUCUUAUGGGUGUCGCACAAAUGAAUGACACAAAUGACAUUCAUUUGUAUGUCCAUGCAUCAUUUUCCUUUAUUUUUUUAUUUUUUUAUUUUUUUAGGGAGAGCAGGUAUAGGGUUGGGAGUGGGAUUUGGGAGAUACAAGGACUUUGCCCCUAGUCAUUUCAAUGCAUGUCCCUGAUUCUUGAAUGCGCAAUGGACUAAUUUAAUUCCUCCUUAAUUUAAGGGUGAGCACACCUCACUUCUGUUAGUUUUUUAUUUUAUUUUUAUAUUGGUCAAGAACACACCUCAAUUUAAAACUGUUAUUUUAUUUGUUCCAAUCACUAGUCUUUUAUUUUUUGUCAACAAUCACUUGACCCUUAUCUUGCACGUCUCUAAACCCAUGUGAAGAUUCCUUGUAGGCCCAUAUAAGGGUUCUUCCAAUAAAACCUUACAACAUAUAGUACAAGAUAACCAUGUCUGGAACAUGGUUGUCCACAGGUCAUAUCAAUUAUCAAGGUUUCUUGUCUUGCAGGUUGGUCACCACUCAUCAGUGUCUAUAGCCAAAGCCUUUUAUCACAAAGGAACAUGACUUAUUCAACUAAAGGUGUUGAUAUUUAGUCUGCAGUACAGCCAAAACCAUCAUCUAAAAGGAGAAAUGUCAAUAAUCUCUUCCUUUUCACACAUUGUAAUUGAUCAGUGUUGUAAAAAAGCCUAUACACUUACUUCCCAAAGGCCAAAUCCAUCAUUUUUUUUCAAAAUAUAUAAACCUUUAUAGUUACAGAAUAAGCCAAACCAUAAAGGGUAGGUUGAUGAGUAUGUCAAAUGAAAAGUGAGAAAUCAGAUUCCAACCAACUCCUUAACCUUGUAAAGGAGGUAAGUGACAAAUCAAAGACUAAAGAACAGUGCAAAGUGCAAACCAACCAACCAGUAAAAAAGCAAACAUGAUAGAAUAUAACAUGUAGAAGGCUACAUACUACAGUGCAAUCUCCUAAUAUCUUAGCUGAGUUAAACCCAGUAAAUUUCCUUUCCUUUUUUUCUUCUUUUAAAGUAUCAGCAUUACAAUAAAUUGAAGGCAUUAUAUUAUGCUACUACAGACAGAACCGAGUCCUAAGUCCUUACUAAAACUUAAGCCAUCUCUUCUCUUUUUCUUUGCCAACAACUGUAUUUGAGGCUGAGGCAUGAACUGAUUCAGCCUCUGCCAAAGCCUUGCGGGUUUCAACUAAUUUUCUCAUAGCAGCCUCAUAAACAGCCUUCUCCUUUUUGUUAGCAUUCACCAUUUGUUCAAGCUUUGCAACCCUCAUCUUCAAACCCUUCACCUCAUCCUCAUAAGCAACCAACACCUUCCUAUCCACCUUUUUAACUUCCCCUGAAUCUUUACUUUGCUGCUUCUUCAUUGAUCCACCAUUGGAAGCUUCACCAUGCAUUGCCAGUUGAUUGUUUAUUAGUGUGAAGACAUCUGGUGCUGAUUCUUCUUCCUCUUUCGCUGUGCGAUUCGCUUCUGCGAAUUUCUUUUCACGUUUUCUCUUACCACCUCGGCUCCGUUUCUUACCUUGCUUCUCAUUAUUCUCUUCCCCUUUACGAGAAUCAAGUGCAUGAUCUAAGGAUUGCUUUGGUGGCAGAACCUUCACAGGUAUCGGAUCAAGCAUUCCCUGACCAGUUACACCUAAACCCAUUCCUUCUCGGAAACCCAUAUUAGCCAUCAUUUUGGAAGCUAUGCCUCUAGUGUGGUUCUCCCACUUAGCAAACAAAGCAGUGUCGGUUUGAAUACCUUUCUGUAAGUUGGUACUCUCUAGAAAUCCUAAACCUUGUGAUUCCUCUUCAUCGUAGUCACUGGACUCGGAUUGUUCUAAGCUGGAAUCACUCUCUAAGUCGCUUACUUCUGCAUACUCAGAUAAUACUAUUUCUUCUGCACAAAGCUUCAUAGAACUUCCACUGUCUCUGAAAACAACUUGUCCAACUCCAGCUUUUUCAUCCCAGAGCUCAAGCUCAGCUUCUCUCCAAAUGCCUGUUUUUGCAUCUGAGAGUGCCCAUAUACUUGAUCCCACAAGGGAUGGCUUCCAGAUUGUUGGGACAUAUCUCUUGAGGGAGGACAGUUGAACAUCAACUCCUGUAAUGUAGAUAGUAGAUAGGUAUUAUAUACUAAAUAAAAUAAGCGAGCAUUGAAAUGGGAGAAAAAACACAAGUAGAUUAUGUAAAGGAGUAAUCACAUAUAAUUGGAAAUAGGCAAGUGAUAUAUUGAGGUCACAUACUAAACCAUCCAAACCGACAGUUCAAAUCAGCUUGGAAAAAGAGGGAUUAUAAGGCUUCUAACCCUUUAUAGUUUAUACUCUAAAUAGAAAUGUCCAAAGAAAAAAUCAAGUGGAUUAGUAGUACUAAGUCUGCAAGUUUUUACUGCUUAUUUUCUCGGACUGCUCCCCCAUUGUUCUUGUUUGCCAUAAACAUUAGAAGUGAUUCUGAUCACACAAUAGAACUAAGUGGGCUUUUGGUAUUGUGUUACCACACCACAUUGAGGUCAGAAAACCCGUCAAAGUGGACAUUCCCCAUUAUAGCUUCUACUGGAUGUGCUUUGGAGUGUGUGCAAAACUCAUUUCCAAACACCCUAUAACCGUGUGAGAAACUUAGUAAAGUAUCUGGAAGUGAUUCUGAAGUUGGGAUAAAUUUCACCCAAGAAGAACGAUUAUCAUUUCAUAAAAAUUUUAAAAGAAAAAUGUCAAAUAAAAGCCCAGGAAGAAUCAAAACGAAAUGUAGAUGUAGAUAGGAAUUAUUAUACCAGCUUCCCCAGGGUGAAAAAAAACACCAGCCACCUACAUAUUUUCUGAUACCAAAUAAAGUUUAUAUCUUCUAAUGGAAAAAUAUCAUAAUGUAUAAAUCACCCCCUUAAUAAGUUGAUAAUUGAUAUCUUAAGUCAUAUCUAAUAAUCAGGUGAUUAAUCUUGGAUCCCCAACCUAGAGUAUAUUCAAAUGAACUAGCUUCCAAAAUCUGAACAAAGACAUGAUUCAACAAAUUCUUUAUCAAGGAAAGAGGGUUCCAAAUGUUCAUCAGAUUUCUGCACUUGAAAAUGCAAGUGUCACUAGAGUUUAGAGAAAAAGUUAAUUACAAUGGGGUCCAAGUGAUUUCACCUCUAUCCAACUCUGUUCAAUUUGCUCAAUAACAGUGGCUUACCAUGCGAUUGGCGACAGUUAGCACCAAAUCGACAUCGAUGUUGUAAAAAGAACUUGCACAUCUGCACUUCGGUGUUUUAGCAUUAGUACAAUGAGAUGAAAAGCAAUUGAUUUUAUAGCAUAAUCUGGAACCCAAAUUUUGAGGGAUAACAAAGCUAAGAAAACUUCUUAAAAUAAGUGGAAGUUCCACUCCAUUUCACUCACUACAAAGACAUGUGAUGUUCAAUAAGAAUGAUAUUUCUUGAGUUUCAUCAUAUAUGGCGAUUAAUGGCUGUUGAGGUUAUUGUGAAAUCCCUGAAGAACUAUGAUCAAAAUGGUGAGAAAGGAAGAAGAAAGAGACAUACAAAGGAGAAAUAGAAAAUUUAUAUGCCACAUUGAAGGGCGUUUUAAGUUCCACUUUUUACUGCUUAGGAAAUUUUAUUGGUGUAAAUGUAAUUGGAACCUUUAAAAAACAACUUAAUUUUUAAUUAUUGCAUGUAAUUUGUUUCAAGUUAUUAUUAAUUUAAGAACUGAAUGCAUUUAAAAAGGGUUUGUAUUGAUUAUGCAAUAUAUAAUGAUAUGUAAACACAAUACUCAUGAUAAAAGUUGCAAAUAAUUCAAUUAAAAUAAUCUGUUCUUGUAUCUUGUAAUCCAGACACAAGAAAAAGUUGAAAGCCGAAAAUAACAUAAAAAGCGUGUUCAUGAGCUGUGUCAGGACUACAAAUCUAUAUUAACACGACACUCAUAUGAACAAUGUGUUGAAUGGGUUGCUAAGGAACAGAUUUAAAGUGUGAAAGGAAGAAUAUGGACUUUAGUAACAUCAAAUAGAGAAGAAGUGUUCAGAUAACUGCACAAUUGUAAUAUAUUUCAAAUGAAUCCUAGAAACAUACUUCUAUUUUUUUGGAUAAGAGAAGUUGAAUAAGAAUUAGAGAGAGAAAACAAUACAAAAAUAAAGAGUAUAAGGAAUCCUCAGAAAAUGGGGAAAAACAAAAACAAAUACAAGAGCUUAAGCUAUCAUGAACCAACGAUUCGGUUAAGGAGUUUGGUGGAAAACACAUGAAUGAAUUUUUUUUUAUAUCUCUAACAAGGACUAACACUUGAAACAUUCCUCUUAAAACGAUAACAACAUGUAGCUAAUAAUAUAUUUAUUUAUUUUGAGGGGGGAGCGGUAGGGUGAGGGUCAUGGGGGUAUGGAGACAGCAUAUCUAGCAUUAUCCUUUGGCAUUCUUUUUUAUUUCUAAAUAAAACCAAGGAAAAUUACAAAUAUAGCACAAUACCUAUCAUAUGCCUGUGUUGCCUAUUUUCCUUUAUGUGAAUGAACUGUUGUUAUUUCAAAUUUGUGUAUUUUCUAAUUAGUUACAGUAGAGGAAAACUAAGGGGAGGAAAAGUGUAUUGAAAAUGUAGAUAGAAUACCAUAAUAUACUUUUUGUCACCAAAGUAAAAAAUAAAAUGGCCACACUUGACCCAAAUGAUAAUCUUACAUACCAGCAUAUUCUCAGAUGUAGGAGUAAGGAACGAAAUCUUUGCUACUGAAUUAUCCAAUUGCACCACUUGACCAUUGUACCAACGCCCAUCUUUGUGACGGAAUCUACAUUUAGAUCCAAUAGAAUAGCUUUUUUCCUCCAGGGGCUCUGGUUCUACAUCUGUGGGAUCAAGGGGCUCCACUUUCUCUUCUUCAGUAAACAUAUUAGUGUUAUGCAGCACAGAAUCUACUUCCUGUAAUAAUCUUGCACGUUUUAGAUGAAGAAGCCCUUCCUCUGCAUCUUUAAUUGCCUGAACAAGCUCUUCAUGAACCUGCAAUAUCAAAAAUAAAGAGAUUUAAAUCACAAAAUUAGCCUCAGAUAUUUUAGAUUGGCUAUCAUGAUCAAGAACAACAACAACAAUAAGCCGUUUCCCACUAGGUGAGGUUGGCACAUGGAUGAAACACUGCCAUAAUAUUCCAUCAUGUAUAUGCUGUUAGUCAUAAUCGCACUCCAUCUCAUAGAGUCAACAAAAUUCUACAUUAUGAGGCACUAAAGAUAUGCCUAGCCGAAACCAGAAAGAUGCCCCCAAGGCACCAAUGGCAUGCACCUCGCUGAAGACCGAGGCCUGGUUACAGUUCGUUUCAUCAUGGAAAACUAUACCAAACCAAAUUGGAAAAACAAGUCAAUCAAACCGAACUGAUUAUGAGUCACCCGAAUUGAACCGCAUUGGUUAUGGUUCAGUGAACCAGUUCUUAUUUUAAGAAUCAGCUUUUAUUAUGUGAUUUUAGUUUUGAACCGGUUUAGAUUUUAUAGUGUUGCAAGAUGAACACGGUUGUUUUGAAUCUAUGCUAAUACAGCAGCAAAUGCAGAAAUCUCACGUUUCAAGACAUUUUUGUUUUGAAUCCAUGCAACAGUUUGGAACAUGGUAUUGAACCCACUCUUAUUCUCUUAACGCAUGAACAUCUGUGAGGACAUCAGAACUCUCAAAUCAAACCCUCCACACAUAUCCCACAUGUAAGACCGAGACUUUAGUUGACCGUUUGAACAGCCUAUUGAGCAUCAUUGGAGCUACAAACGUGAGUCUAAAAGUAGCAUUUGGUAGAUAAGUCAGAGUGGGGCAGAACAUAACACAUGGUUUGUAUUUUGGUUGGUACAUAUUGAAACUAAAACAGAACGGUGAAUAAGGUUAAAAAUAAGUAUAUUUUGAUUCAGCGAAAAAGGUGGAAUGAAAUAAAACUUGGUUCCAUUCCUCUCCGUGCCAAAUGAUACUUUCUACAAACUAGAGACUAUCUGCCUUAAUUGAGCUACAUAUGACCAAAAAUAGCAGACAUUACACAGCACAGCAAUCAAACUCAAACUUACACACAUGCAUAGCCAUAAAACAUCCAAUGAACUACUCAAAUGGAUUAUCCAAGUAACAUCCAUACAGAUUUAAAAAUGCAGAAACUCAUAAAGCACCCUAAGAAUCUCCAAUUGUUCACCUCCAAUUGUUCACAACCCAAAACCCCUAAGUCCUCAUAUAUUGUCAAUUUUUAACAAAACUAAGUCAUCGAUUGUGAAAAGAAAAAAGAAUACCGCAACGAGCUCGGAGUUGGUAGGAUCAGAGAGAAGAGCUUCAUCGAUUGCAGAGAGGGAAUCCCUUUGCUCCUGCAAUUGAAGCUCCAAUUGCUCCUCCAGAAGAACCCUUUCUUCUGAGCUACCCAUUGCUAUUUGCUAUUUGCUAUUGCCACCACCCAACCCAACCCUAACUAUUCAUAUCGCAGGUUUUCCUUCUUCCCCUUGUCACCUUCUUUCCAUCUUCUCCAUUUCUAUUUUAUUAACAUUUAUAGUACAAACCUAACAAAAUCACAAAUUGAUUAAUACGACAAAAUUAUUAUUUUGCAUUUUAAUUUUGAUGGAAAUUUGUAUCAUUGUGCCCUUUUUUUAUUGACAGCUGCAUCAUUGUGCCCUUAAUACUAUGAGUAAAAAUAAAAUAUAAUGUAGUUUGUUUAACUAUUUUAAGCAAAAAUAUAAAAUUAGAAGAAAUGGCACUUUGCUUGUUAAGUGAAAGCAGAAAAUAAAAUAGAUUUUUUCAAGAAGUUUUUAUUUCAUUUUUCGCUUUGCAUUAUUUAUCAUCAAAAAAGCAUGAUAAAAGUGAUGUUUCCACCUAUUUAAUAAAGUGUUAACCAAAAACCUCAUGUUAGCCUUAUUGUUGAGUGGGACAACUAACUUGUCUCAAAAUUAUAGAUGUGAAAUUAUUUGAUUACACACUCAACCAUUUUCAAAUCAAUAGUUAUACUUGCAUUUAUCGACUAAAAUGUCUCAUUUUACAUGAGUUAAAUUUACCCACUCAAAUAUCUACCGCACCAGCUUUUAUUAAAAUUAAUAGGCUUAAAAGCACAUUUGGUCCCUCACGAUUGAGCUUCGUGCAAAAUGAGUCCCUAAACUUUAAAAAUAGCAUUCUUGAUCCCCAACGUUAUACUCUGUUAAUAGUAUUGGUCCCUUACCCCUUUUCCGUUAGAAAAUUAACGGUUUGUGCCUACAUGGAAUUUUUUAUUAAUAUUUAAACUGACAAAAUUAAUUAAAAUAAAAAAAAUUUGAAUCUUCAUCUCCUUCCUCCUUCAUUUUCAUCAUCUUCUCCAUCAUUGAAAACAUAAAAUCCAGAAAAAAGAAUUCAUCAACACAACCCCUUCUUCUAUUUAAUUUACCAAAAACCUUAAAGAUCUGGAAAGAAAACUCGAAAAUAAACACCAUUAAUGAGAAAGAAGGAGAACCCGAUGGCUGGCCGAGGUAGAACGCGCGAUGGCUGCAGAAUUUCUUGCCGUGAAGCUCGAGAGCAGUGGGUUGGUGGGGUUUGUCUGCUGGUUCGGCUAAGGUGAUUUGAGGAUGGUGAAGAUGAAGAACAUUUAACCUAUGAAGAUGAAGAAGCCAGAUGAGGAUUUGAGAAAGAAAAAAAAUUGAACGUGAUUUGAGAAUUUUAAUUGGGAGAUUUUUACUAAUUGAAAAAAAUAUUAAUUGAGAUUUUUAAAAAAAUUGAAGAGUCAGCACUCAACAUGUGCAACUCUCUCUCCUAAUGUCCUACUUCUCUCUCCUGUUAACUUUCUUCUCUCUCCUCCAAGUCAUUAAAAAAACUCCACCAAAGCAAAAACCGUUUAAAAUCUAACAGAAGGACUAAGUGUAGUAACAGGAGAUAACGUGAGGGACUAAUAAUGCUAAAAAAAUAGUUUAGGGACUCAUUUUGCACGAAGCUCAAUCGUGGGGGACCAAAUGUGCUUUUAAGCCAAAUUAAUAAUUAUACUUUAUAAUUGAAUAAUAUAAUUUCAAACAGUGAAAGAACUGUCUACACUACCGAGUAUUACUUUCGUUCCUUAUUAAUUGCCAUUUUUAUAUAUAAAGUUUAAUCAUACGGUUAAUUAGCAUAACUCAUUAUUGUUUUAAUAUUGCUCUUCUAAACAAAGACUUUUUUUUGGUUGGCGACUUUAACGACACGGUGGCCUCAACUGAGCAACGUGGUGACAUUUUCUCUCAUGUUCGAGCAAGAGCUUUUUUGGAUAACAUAAACUCUUGCGAUUUGAUUGACUUGGGUGCUACAGGUCUGGCUUUCACUUGGUUUCGCAACUGCCAAGGUCGCCUCCCUGUGCACAAGCGUCUGGACCGUGCUCUGUCCUCUCUGAGUUGGCGAGUAGGGAUUUUGGAAGGAGGUGUUGAGGUUCUCCCUAGACUGCACUCUGGUCAUAGCCCGUUGUUACUCCGGUGUGGGAAGAAAGUAGAGAACUUGGGUGGCAGGCCGUUCCGGUUUGAAGCUGCUUGGGUUAACCAUCAUUUGUAUAAGGAUGUUGUUCAGGAGGCUUGGCAUCAUGGUGGGCCUUGUAUUUUAACAACCCUGGAUGAGGUCAGAAGGGACUCUAUAGAAUUUAAUAAGAAGGUUUUUGGUAAUAUAUUUCGUAGGAAAAAACAUGUCGAGAAUUGUUUGGCCUCCAUUCAGAGGAAGCUUGAGACGAUUGAUUCUGUUGCCCUCUUGCUCCAACUUGAUAAGCUGAAAAAGGAGCACCAUGAUAUCCUUGCUCAAGAGGAGAUGUUGUGGUUCCAGAAGUCCAGGGAAAAGUGGGUCAAGUAUGGUGACAGGAAUACUGCUUUUUUCCAUGCUCAGACUAUUAUUCGUAGGCGGAGGAAUCGCAUUUUGGGUCUUAAUUUGCCUAAUGGGAAUUGGUGUGAGGAACCUGAGACCCUCCAGUUGGGUGCCAUUGAGUAUUUCAAGUCUUUAUUUGCUGAGACAGUUGUAGUUGACUCAUCUGGAUUGCCUACCACGGGUCUUCCUACUAUUCCUGCUCACUUCAUGGUAGGCCUUGAGCGCGACGUCACUAAGGAUGAGGUGUUCUCAGCUCUCCAACACAUGGGGUCUUUCAAAGCUCCUGGACCUGAUGGCUUCCAUGCUUAUUUUUACAAGACUUAUUGGGAUGUGGUGGGCGACAAAGUUUUCCAGUGUGUUAGGGAUGCUUUUGUAACUCAACAGUUUGAUCCAGCCCUAGGGGAGACUUUAAUUGCCCUCAUUCCAAAAGUAGAUAACCCUCUCUCUUUCAAGGAUUUCAGGCCUAUCAAUUUGUGUAAUGUUGUGUACAAGUUGAUUACCAAAAUCCUUGUUAACAGAAUCAGGCCUCUCUUGAAUGAUAUUAUUAGCCCCAUGCAGAGCAGUUUUAUUCCAGGAAGAAAUACUAGUGAUAAUGCCAUAGCCCUUCAAGAGAUUGUGUAUCAUCAGUGGAAAGCCAAGAGAAAAAAGGGUAAUCUUGUCUUCAAGCUUGACCUUGAGAAAGCGUAUGAUCGUGUGGAUUGGGUGUUUUUGAAGGAAACUUUGGUGGCUUUUGGCUUUCCCACAUCCUACAUUCGUUUGAUUAUGUUUUGUGUGUCAGUCUCACACCUUUCUAUUUUGUGGAAUGGCAAGAGGUUGCAAUCUUUUCCGGCUAAGCGUGGCCUGAGGCAAGGAGAUCCCCUUUCCCCGUACCUGUUUGUUUUGUGUAUGGAGCGAUUCAGUUCAGCUAUUGCUACUGCUGUCUUAGAGGGAAGGUGGGACCCCAUAUGUACUGUUAGGAAUGGCCCUGGUUUGUCUCAUCUGUUUUUUGCAGAUGAUGUGCUCCUCUUUACUAAAGCCAAGAAGGACCAAGUCCGGCUGCUAAAAGAAAUUCUUGAUAAUUUUUGUAAAGCCUCUGGUUUGAAGGUGAAUGAGGCUAAAUCUAAAAUUCUAGGCUAUGAUGGGAUGACAAAUCAUGACAAGAAUAGUAUCGCUGGCAUCACAACGGAUAUUGGCAGGUAUUUGGGUUUCCCUAUUUUCCAGAAAAGGAUCACAAAGCAUGAUUUUAAUUUCAUUUUUGACCGUAUCAACUCUCGCUUGGCGGAUUGGAAGUGCAAGCUCCUUAACAGAGCUGGUAGAAUCACCCUUGCCCAGUCAGUUCUCACCGCCAUGCCUGCUUAUUGCAUGAGUCAGGUCUGGUUUCCGCAAGGCGUCUGUGACAAGUUGGAUGCUACUGUGAGAAAUUUUAUUUGGAAAAAUCGGGAUGGAAGGGGCAUCCAUCUGGUUGGUUGGGACCGUAUAGCCCUUCUGAAAUCUAUUGGAGGUUUGGGUUUGCGUAAAGCCAGGGACCAUAAUGUUGCACUGUUGGGGAAGCAUGUUUGGGAAAUCCUUUCUGAUGUUAAUAAACCUUGGGUGCGUCUUCUUAAAUUUAAUUAUUUUCCUACUGGGUCGUUUAUGGACGUUGAUGUGAAUCAAGGAUCUCCGGUUUUCAAGGCUUUUGGGAGAGCUAGAAACGUUUUGGGGCAGGGGUUUGCUUUCCAAAUAGGUAAUGGUAUGUCUUCCUUUUGGAAUGCAACGUGGUGCAAUGGCCAACCCCUUUGCCAGCAAGUUGAUUUUGUGCAUUAUUAUGAUGUGGACAAGAAACUUCAGGAUAUUUGGGAUGGGAAUGUUUGGAGAUUGGAUCUUUUGUGGACUUUGUUACCUGGGAACUUGGCUCAAUUAAUUUGCGCUAAUGAACCUCGUCUGAAUCCUCAUGUUGAGGACAGUAUUAGAUGGACUGGGAAUGUGAAUGGUGAGUAUAGUACUAAGUCAGGGUAUGAUUGGAUCAUUCAUCAGAGAAUUGCUGGAAUGGGAGAUGUGCUAGGUCCUAACCCUCACUGGCGGUGGAUAUGGCGUUUGAAGAUACCUUUAAAGUGUGUAGUCCUCGUGUGGCUUGCAGCUCAUGAUGCUCUCCCAACAAACGAGUGCAGAUACAAGCGUGGUAUGACCCCUUCCGCAACAUGUGGGCUAUGCAAUGAAGAAGAAGAAACGGUGCUUCACUGUCUUAGGGAGUGUAGAUUUGCCAUGGCUGUGUGGUUGCGACUGGGUUACCCUCCAUCUAGUCCUACCUUUCUUUUGCAGGAUCAGCGUGCGUGGCUCAAGGAAAUUCUGGGUGAUUCUGAUCCGAUUGCGGCAGCAGCGAUUUGGUGGAUUUGGAUAGCCAGGUGCACCUACUGUUUGGAAAAUGUGAUGCUAAACUCUGUUUUGGUCAUGUCUAAUAUUGCAGGGAUGGUUACUGAGCUCCAGUCUUAUUCUCGUAGUGCUACUGCAAGCUUCCCCUCUCCCCCCAGACUUGUGCGUUGGCUGCCUCGUAGCCAGAGUAGCUUGGUGGUGAAUGUAGAUGGUAGUGUUCGUGGUGAUCCUAAGCGCGGUGGUUUCGGUGGUUGCUUUAGGAGUGGUCAUGGCCAGUGGUUUGGUGGUUUCUAUGGGUUUAAAGAUGAUUCUCAAAUUUUGCACCUAGAGCUGCUUGCCAUUUAUCAUGGUUUAACAAUUGCUUGGGGUCGCGGUGCCCGGGAUGUGGAGUGCCAAUCGGACUCCCAAGAAGUUGUUACUCCUGUGAACUCUACUCCUCCGUCGAGACAUUUGUAUGCGUCUCUUAUUUGGGAUAUCAAAGAUCUUCUUAAUCGUGAUUGGCGUGUGGAAGUGAUUCAUACUCUGAGGGAGGGGAAUGCUUGUGCUGACUUACUUGCCAAGUAUAGAGCAUCUCAGGACAGUAGCUUAGUGGCUCUUGAUAACCCCUUAGAUGGGAUGAGUUUAUUAUUGUUAGCUGAUUUUAUGGGCGUCUCAUCCGUGAGACCGUAGUUCGGGGCUCUCCUGCUUUCUUUUUCUUUCUUUUUGAACUGUACCAAAAAAAAUGUUGGACAACGUUCGAGUACAUUUUACAAUUUACAGCUACCUCUUCCCCGAAGUGAAUCAUCCCUCAUCCCUCAUCCCUGCACCAUCAUGCUCUUAGCUAUUCACGCCACUGCGCACCACUACGAUUGAAUGAAAAAAACACCAAACUUCAAUCUUUGUUUGUUUUCCUUUUUUUUUUUUUUGUUUGAAAGUAUGAAAGUCAGUUUUUAUUUAACUGUAGGGUUAUCUGGGCCACCUUUUUUGGGCCCAAUACCUGCACAGCCUUAAACAAAUUCAUUUUUCAAUAUUUUGAGACACAAGCUUCUUCUUUGUUUAUAGCCUAGGGGUGCCUGAC